GAUGAACGCUGGCGGCGUGCCUAAUACAUGCAAGUCGAGCGAACGGACGAGAAGCUUGCUUUUCUGAUGUUAGCGGCGGACGGGUGAGUAACACGUGGAUAACCUACCUAUAAGACUGGGAUAACUUCGGGAAACCGGAGCUAAUACCGGAUAAUAUUUUGAACCGCAUGGUUCAAAAGUGAAAGACGGUCUUGCUGUCACUUAUAGAUGGAUCCGCGCUGCUUUAGCUAGUUGGUAAGGUAACGGCUUACCAAGGCAACGAUGCAUAGCCGACCUGAGAGAGUGAUCGGCCACACUGGAACUGAGACACGGUCCAGACUCCUACGGGAGGCAGCAGUAUGGAAUCUUCCGCAAUGGGCGAAAGCCUGACGGAGCAACGCCGCGUGAGUGAUGAAGGUCUUCGGAUCGUAAAACUCUGUUAUUAGGGAAGAACAUAUGUGUAAGUAACUGUGCACAUCUUGACGGUACCUAAUCAGAAAGCCACGGCUAACUACGUG
rnacentral:rRNA from 1 species